AUUGAACGCUGGCGGCAUGCCUAACACAUGCAAGUCGAGCGGCAGCACGGUAUAGCUUGCUAUACGGGUGGCGAGUGGCGAACGGGUGAGUAACGCGUAGGAAUAUACCUUAGAGAGGGGGAUAACCUGGGGAAACUCAGGCUAAUACCGCAUACGUUCUUCGGAAUAAAGCUGGGGACCUUCGGGCCUGGCGCUUUAAGAAUAGCCUGCGUCCGAUUAGCUAGUUGGUAGGGUAAGGGCCUACCAAGGCGACGAUCGGUAGCUGGUCUGAGAGGAUGACCAGCACACUGGGACUGAGACACGGCCCAGACUCCUACGGGAGGCAGCAGUGGGGAAUAUUGGACAAUGGGGGAAACCCUGAUCCAGCAAUGCCGCGUGUGUGAAGAAGGCCUGAGGGUUGUAAAGCACUUUCAGUGGGGAGGAGAGACGGAAGGUUAGGAGCCAUUUGUUGAGACGUUACCCACAGAAGAAGCACCGGCUAACUCCGUGCCAGCCGCCGCGGUAA
rnacentral:rRNA from 1 species